rnacentral:rRNA from 1 species
GCCAGACUCCUACGGGAGGCAGCAGUGGGGAAUAUUGCACAAUGGGGGAAACCCUGAUGCAGCGACGCCGCGUGAGCGAAGAAGUAUUUCGGUAUGUAAAGCUCUAUCAGCAGGGAAGAAAAAAAUGACGGUACCUGAGUAAGAAGCACCGGCUAAAUACGUGCCAGCAGCCGCGGUAAUACGUAUGGUGCAAGCGUUAUCCGGAUUUACUGGGUGUAAAGGGAGCGUAGGCGGCGCGUUAAGUCUGAUGUGAAAACCCGAGGCUCAACCACGGGAGUGCAUUGGAAACUGGCGGGCUGGAGUGCCGGAGAGGUAAGCGGAAUUCCUAGUGUAGCGGUGAAAUGCGUAGAUAUAAGGAAGAACACCAGUGGCGAAGGCGGAUGACUGGACGGCAACUGACGGUGAGGCGCGAAAGCGUGGGGAGCAAACAGGAUUAGAUACCCCAGUAGC